GUGCUCCCUUCGGAAGCACAUAUACUAAAAUCGGAACAAUACAGAGAAGAUUAGCAUAGCUCCUCUGCAAGGAUGCCACACAAAUUUGUGAAGUGUUCCAUAUUUUU